rnacentral:rRNA from 1 species
CCCUUAGAUGUUCUGGGCUGCACGCGCGCUACACUGAUGCGCUCAACGAGUUUACGACCUUGCCCGGAAGGGUUGGGUAAUCUUUUUAAAACGCAUCGUGAUGGGGAUAGAUUAUUGCAAUUAUUAAUCUUUAACGAGGAAUUCCUAGUAAGCGCGAGUCAUCAGCUCGUGCUGAUUACGUCCCUGCCCUUUGUACACACCGCCCGUCGCUCCUACCGAUUGAAUGAUUCGGUGAAGAUUCCGGACCGUGUUGUCACCGCUUCACGGCGGUUUUGACGUGGGAAGUUAUCUAAACCUCAUCAUUUAGAGGAAGGUGAAGUCGUAACA